GUAAAGCGUGCGCAGGCGGUUCGGAAAGAAAGAUGUGAAAUCCCAGGGCUCAACCUUGGAACUGCAUUUUUAACUCCCGGACUAGAGUAUGUCAGAGGGGGGUGGAAUUCCACGUGUAGCAGUGAAAUGCGUAGAGAUGUGGAGGAACACCGAUGGCGAAGGCAGCCCCCUGGGAUAAUACUGACGCUCAGGCACGAAAGCGUGGGUAGCAAACAGGAUUAGAUACCCUGGUAGUCCACGCCCUAAACGAUGUCAACUAGCUGUUGGGUUCUUCGGAGCUUAGUAGCGCAGCUAACGCGUGAAGUUGACCGCCUGGGGAGUACGGUCGCAAGAUUAAAACUCAAAGGAAUUGACGGGGACCCGCACAAGCGGUGGAUGAUGUGGAUUAAUUCGAUGCAACGCGAAAAACCUUACCUACCCUUGACAUGUCUGGAAUCCCGAAGAGAUUUGGGAGUGCUCGCAAGAGAACCGGAACACAGGUGCUGCAUGGCUGUCGUCAGCUCGUGUCGUGAGAUGUUGGGUUAAGUCCCGCAACGAGCGCAACCCUUG
rnacentral:rRNA from 1 species